AUUGAACGCUGGCGGCAUGCCUAACACAUGCAAGUCGAACGAGUGGCGGACGGGUGAGUAAUGUCUGGGAAACUGCCUGAUGGAGGGGGAUAACUACUGGAAACGGUAGCUAAUACCGCAAACCAUCGGAUGUUCCCAGAUGGGAUUAGCUGGUAGGUGGGGUAACGGCUCACCUGGGCGACGAUCCCUAGCUGGUCUGAGAGGAUGACCAGCCACACGGGAACGAAGACACGGCCCAGACGCCUACGGGAGGCAGCAGUGGGGAACAUUGCACAAUGGGCGAAAGCCUGAGGCAGCCAUGCCGCGUGUAGGAAGAAGGCCUUCGGGUUGUAAAGUACUUUCAGCGGGGAGGCGUUACCCGCAGAAGAAGCACCGGCUAACUCCGUGCCAGCAGCCGCGGUAAUAC
rnacentral:rRNA from 1 species